GGUUAAGUGACUAAGCGUACACGGUGGAUGCCUGGGCAGUCAGAGGCGAUGAAGGACGUACUAACUUGCGAUAAGCGCAGAUAAGGCAGUAAGAGCCGUUUGAGUCUGCGAUUUCCGAAUGGGGAAACCCAACUGCAUAAGCAGUUACUGUUAACUGAAUACAUAGGUUAACAGAGCAAACCGGGGGAACUGAAACAUCUAAGUACCCCGAGGAGAAGAAAUCAACCGAGAUUCCGGUAGUAGCGGCGAGCGAACCUGGAUUAGCCCUUAAGCACUCGGUGAAGUAGGUGAACAAGCUGGAAAGCUUGGCGAUACAGGGUGAUAGCCCCGUAACCGACGCUUCAUCGAGCGUGAAAUCGAGUAGGGCGGGACACGUGAUAUCCUGUCUGAAUAUGGGGGGACCAUCCUCCAAGGCUAAAUACUCCUGACUGACCGAUAGUGAACCAGUACCGUGAGGGAAAGGCGAAAAGAACCCCUGUGAGGGGAGUGAAAUAGAACCUGAAACCGUGUACGUACAAGCAGUAGGAGCACCUUCGUGGUGUGACUGCGUACCUUUUGUAUAAUGGGUCAGCGACUUAUAUUCAGUGGCAAGGUUAACCGUAUAGGGGAGCCGUAGCGAAAGCGAGUCUUAACUGGGCGCUCAGUCUCUGGAUAUAGACCCGAAACCGGGUGAUCUAGCCAUGGGCAGGUUGAAGGUUGAGUAACAUCAACUGGAGGACCGAACCGACUAAUGUUGAAAAAUUAGCGGAUGACUUGUGGCUAGGGGUGAAAGGCCAAUCAAACUCGGAGAUAGCUGGUUCUCCCCGAAAGCUAUUUAGGUAGCGCCUCGGACGAAUACUACUGGGGGUAGA
rnacentral:rRNA from 1 species